rnacentral:rRNA from 1 species
AAAGAUUUGGGAGUGCCGCAAGGAACUCGAACACAGGUGCUGCAUGGCUGUCGUCAGCUCGUGUCGUGAGAUGUUGGGUUAAGUCCCGCAACGAGCGCAACCCUUGUCCUUAGUUGCCAGCAUUAAGUUGGGCACUCUAAGGAGACCGCCGGUGACAAACCGGAGGAAGGUGGGGAUGACGUCAAGUCAUCAUGGCCUUUAUGGCCAGGGCUACACACGUGCUACAAUGGUAAGUACAGAGGGAAGCCAACUCGCGAGAGGGAGCCAAUCCCAGAAAACUUAUCGUAGUCCGGAUCGGAGUCUGCAACUCGACUCCGUGAAGUCGGAAUCGCUAGUAAUCGCAGAUCAGCAUUGCUGCGGUGAAUACGUUCCCGGGUCUUGUACACACCGCCCGUCACACCAUGGGAGUUGAUUGCACCAGAAGCAGGUAGCCUGACCGCAAGGGGGGCGCCUACCACGGUGUGGUCAAUGACUGGGGUGAAGUCGUAACAAGGUAGCCGU